UGCCAGCAGCCGCGGUAAUACGUAGGGGGCGAGCGUUAUCCGGAUUCAUUGGGCGUAAAGCGCGCGUAGGCGGCCUGCUAGGUCGGGAGUCAAAUCCGGGGGCUCAACCCCCGUCCGCUCCCGAUACCGGCUGGCUUGAGUCUGGUAGGGGAAGGUGGAAUUCCCAGUGUAGCGGUGGAAUGCGCAGAUAUUGGGAAGAACACCGGUGGCGAAGGCGGCCUUCUGGGCCACGACUGACGCUGAGGCGCGAAAGCUAGGGGAGCUAACAGGAUUAGAUA
rnacentral:rRNA from 1 species